rnacentral:rRNA from 1 species
UACGUAGGUGGCAAGCGUUAUCCGGAAUUACUGGGCGUAAAGCGCACGCAGGCGGUCUCUUAAGUUUGACGUGAAAGCUCCCGGCUUAACUGGGAGAGGUCGUUGAAUACUGGGGGACUUGAGGCAAUGAGAGGGGUGUAGAAUUCCCGGUGUAGUGGUGGAAUGCGUAGAUAUCGGGGGGAAUACCAGUGGCGAAAGCGGCACCCUAGCGUUGUUCUGACGCUCAUGUGCGAAAGCGUGGGGAGCGAACGGGAUUAGAAACCCCAGUAGUCC